CCCUUAGAUGUUCUGGGCUGCACGCGCGCUACACUGACACACCCAGCGAGUCUCCUGCCCUGACAGGGUUGGGUAAUCAUUGGAGUGUGUGUCGUGGUGGGGAUAGAGUAUUGCAAUUAUUGCUCUCGAACGAGGAAUUCCUAGUAAGCACAAGUCAGCAGCUUUGCUGAUUACGUCCCUGCCCUUUGUACACACCGCCCGUCGCUCCUACCAAGGGGGUGAUCCGGUUAAUGAUUCGGACUUUGGCGUUUCUAGCUGCUAGCAGCGCUGAAGAAAGUUUUGUGAACCUUAUCACUUGGAGGAAGGAGAAGUCGUAACA
rnacentral:rRNA from 1 species